GCAGAUAUAGUUCAAUGGUAGAAUGUCAGCUUCCCAAGCUGAAUAUGCGAGUUCGAUCCUCGUUAUCUGCUCCA
rnacentral:tRNA from 3 species